GGGUAUUCACUUCCUGCGGCAUCGUGGGGUGUGGAAAGUUUUUCGGCUGGGGAUGGGCUCGCGGCCUAUCAGCUUGUUGGUGGGGUAAUGGCCUACCAAGGCGUCGACGGGUAGCCGGCCUGAGAGGGCGACCGGCCACACUGGGACUGAGACACGGCCCAGACUCCUACGGGAGGCAGCAGCGGGGAAUAUUGCACAAUGGGCGGAAGCCUGAUGCAGCGACGCCGCGUGAGGGAUGACGGCCUUCGGGUUGUAAACCUCUUUCGACCCUGACGAAGCGCAAGUGACGGUAGGGGGAGAAGAAGCACCGGCCAACUACGUGCCAGCAGCCGCGGUAAGACGUAGGGUGCGAGCGUUGUCCGGAUUUAUUGGGCGUAAAGAGCUCGUGGGCGGCUCGUCGCGUCGACC
rnacentral:rRNA from 1 species